rnacentral:rRNA from 1 species
ACUCCUACGGGAGGCAGCAGUAGGGAAUCUUCCACAAUGGACGAAAGUCUGAUGGAGCAACGCCGCGUGAGUGAAGAAGGGUUUCGGCUCGUAAAACUCUGUUGUUAAAGAAGAACAUAUCUGAGAGUAACUGUUCAGGUAUUGACGGUAUUUAACCAGAAAGCCACGGCUAACUACGUGCCAGCAGCCGCGGUAAUACGUAGGUGGCAAGCGUUGUCCGGAUUUAUUGGGCGUAAAGCGAGCGCAGGCGGUUUUUAAGUCUGAUGUGAAAGCCUUCGGCUCAACCGAGGAAGUGCAUCGGAAACUGGGAAACUUGAGUGCAGAAGAGGACAGUGGAACUCCAUGUGUAGCGGUGAAAUGCGUAGAUAUAUGGAAGAACACCAGUGGCGAAGGCGGCUGUCUGGUCUGUAACUGACGCUGAGGCUCGAAAGUAUGGGUAGCAAACAGGAUUAGAUACCCUGGUAGGAUAGCG